ensembl:processed_transcript Gm11769 predicted gene 11769
AGACACAACAAAGCCACGUAGAAAUGACCAUCUUUUCAUGUGGCAUUCAACACAGAAAUAACACCAAACUUUUUUGUAUGCCGGCUUUUCCAACUGCGGUGACACAUGAUACAGAUCAGACCAAACGAAUGCUUUAAAUCGCCUUGAGUAAAGUGUGAGCAACCGCUGAGCGCGCAGAUCCGGACCGCGACUCGCUUCGGGGACGUUGCUUGGGUCUCUUCCCGACCCGCGGUGCUCACACCCCCUUCCCACCAAACGAGCACUUCAACCUGAUGCCCCCGCGCCCUCGACUCACCUGCUUGAAGCAGAAAGGCAUGGUGAGCACGCUGACGCCCACGAUGCUGUUCACCACGUUCGUGAUCAGCCCCCACUUGGAGGUGGAGGCGGCCGUCAUUUUGAGGGUCUAGGGACCAGGACAGAGCGACCCUAGAUAACCCUAAACCUGAAGCAGGGGGGGCCGCGGACAGGCGUCGCGAGGUCAGCCUCCAGACCCUGCCAGGCUCCGCAGCAGCCUCAUAGCCAUGGUUCCAGGUUCCCGCCUCCGCCUCCCCAGAGUGAAGCGGGAACCCGGAAGCGCCGCAGGCAACGCUAGCAACACCUCAGCUCCGCUUCGCUGCCUCCGGCACCCAAACUUCCGCCUUCGGAGCCUACUCUACCAGGAAGUGACGGUAUCAAAGGGCGGGAUGAGGCGGGACGCCAGCCAACUAGAAGUAGGUGUGUAUGCCCGAGGAGGCGUGGUUUGGGUGGGCCCAGAGGCGGAGCUAGGCGUAACUCUGGCCAAUAAGAAGUAUGUGGGGGGAGGGACGGCGGGACGUGGGGCGGGGUCUGAAUCAGGGCGGGGCUACAAUCUGGGUUAGGGGUUCCAGGCUUAGACUAGUGACUGUGGCCGCUGGUAGAAGAGUCAUUUGCUGGGUACAACCUCUAGUGGAACAACAGGAGAGAAAGAGAAGGACUACCUUUCAGGUGAGGAGUGGGCUCUUGAGGGUUAAUUUUCAGGUCCUUGCGCACAGGAAGGAUUUUGGGUCACAAUUGGAGGACCUGUCUAGACUGAAUGCCAACUUAUUGGGACAAAAUUAGCACUUAACGUUUUACAGAUAAAAAUCAUCGGGACACCGGGAGGUUCAGAGACUCAGCAAAGUCACAACAGCCUGGAGGAGGGAGCAUGGAGAUGUGUCUGUUUGAUACGCUAAGUGGGUGAAAAUGGUCUACUGCCCUAAUAUGAAAGAAAACCAGAGGAAAGGUAAAAAGGAGAGACUAGGGAAAUCUAGGAUUUCAAGAGAUGGUGGCUUCUGUACUGGAAGGACUAAUGAGAAUUCUUCCUGGAGUAAUGGACAUUAAAGAGACUAGAGAAAAGAGAACGCUCCAACACCUAAGUGGAUUACUGGCACCUGGCAGUGUUCUUUAUGGUGGUGUCUGUGGUGAAUGAAGGCCUAGGGACCUGAGGUCCAAGAAAGACCCCACAAUGAUUCCAGGAGGCCAGAGCUGUGCAUGCAAGGAGGAACUUCAAGCUGCCUAAAGAGGCUCUCCUAGAAAACAAUUUGAGGCCCAUGCAAGAUCUCAGACAAGGGACAAAUUCUUCCAGCAUCAGGCAGAGCAGCUUCUAGAGAUGAGAGAGAGAGAGAGAGAGAGAGAGAGAGAGAGAGAGAGAGAGAGAGAG